CUCGUAGGCGGUUCGUCGCGUCCGGUGUGAAAGUCCAUCGCUUAACGGUGGAUCCGCGCCGGGUACGGGCGGGCUUGAGUGCGGUAGGGGAGACUGGAAUUCCCGGUGUAACGGUGGAAUGUGUAGAUAUCGGGAAGAACAUCAAUGGCGAAGGCAGGUCUCUGGGCCGUCACUGACGCUGAGGAGCGAAAGCGUAGGGAGCGAAACA
rnacentral:rRNA from 1 species